rnacentral:lncRNA from 1 species
CGCAUGUUAAGAAGAAAAUGUGCUUUACGUUAUUAGUCAUUGGGAUUGAAUGUGCACAUGGUGUAGAUAGUGCAAGCUGGGCCUACAAUACUGUGAGGAGGAACAGCAGUGUAGGCAUGAAGCCAGCAUAAAUCUUGAAGGGCACUUGAUCAAAGGCUCUUGAAAUGAAGAUGGAUCUGUUUGAACCUCUCCAGACUAGGAUUUUGCUUCCAGGCUGAAAUGGUGUAAUUGUGUGCACAUGUGAACUUCAAAUGAUGGCCAAAAUACCACCUUUUUAAUGCCCCUUCUGUUAUCUAAGGCACUCAAAGAUGAUUGAAAGUAAUUUGGAAGCAAUUCAGAAGUGGCUUGAAGUGUUAAGGCUCUUCAUUGCUUAGGAGAAUUUAGAUUGGGAGAUCAGUUUACAAUGUUCUUGAGAAUGUUGACCUGUUUCUGAUGCCGACUGAAUAGAUGUAUACUAAAAGAAAACGCAUCUCCAACAUGUAGUAGAUAUGGGUACCUUGUAAUGCAGAUGGACAUGAAGGCUUUAGUAUCUACAUAUCUACUCGUUAGAAAGUGUAGUUAUCAAUGUUUAUACUCCUUUAAAAUUAUAUCGAUGUAUAUCCCUUGUUAAUUGUAUUUAUAAAAAGUACUUUCUUGUAUCCUGUCAUGAAUAAAAAUGUGUUA